UUCAUGGCCGAAUUAGGAUCCAAAAAGGAGCCGGAGGAGUCUAUCUGCAAUGGUGAUGCCGCCGCAUCUGCUGAGGCUGAUCGUGAGCUGCCGGAAGAUAGCGGCGGAGGUCACUGCUCCCUGUUCCUCCACCGUCGUCGCCAUGGCGUCCUCCGACGAGCCCGAGUUCUUGGUCCAGAAUUACCUCUGGCGCAACCGUUUCCCCCGCCCGCGACUCCCCUGGGACUCCCGCGUCGCGUCCCGGGUCGGCGAGAAGCUGGCCCUCCGACUCCGCGGCAUCGGCGUGUUCGCCGUCGAGGUCGACCUCGGCCAGGAGCCCUCCCGAUUGUCGCACUUCCGCCGCUCCGCUGUUUCCCUCUUUGGAUCCUUUGAACGCGCUGGCGUACACGUCGCCGGAUCCGAGAAACUCGAAUACCCCUAGGUAUUCUCUUUUCUGGCCGGAUCUCUAUUUCCGAAAUUGUGGGAAAAGGAUGCAAUUUGAUUUCCGUUACUUUGGCUCUUUUUGAUUCCAGUACACAAAAUUCUGUCAAGUUAUUUACGUUUAUUGUAGUUAGCGUGUUUCUAGGAUUUUGAAAUCUACAGUUCAAAAUCAUUUUGGAUGUAAAUGAAGAGGAUGAAUCAUUUUCUGUAUUGGAUGAGUUACUAAUAAUUAAUGUUUACGUUUAUCUCGUCAAAUGUCUAUCUAUCCUCGUUAUUGUAAAAAAGAGAUUGAGGAUUCUUACUCCUAAUUCAUCAUUUAUCACUUCAAGUAAAUACUUAUUUAUAUAUACGAAUUUAAUAUUGUGAUUGCUGCCUGUGUGCUGGGUGGCAUAGUCAAAAUAUAUGGUUUUGAUAAACAGUGAACAAUUCUAGAGCAUAUCAUGGUUUGGAAUCUCAUACAUAGUCAAAACAUAUCAUUUUGAUAAAUUAUCUAAUCUCGAUACAAUUUGACAAAUAUAAUCUUCCCUAUGCCAUUGUGUCAAUCAUGUCUAUGAUCAUAACACUCAAGAUAAAUUGAAACAAUAUUUGUUAUUUUUUGUAGCUCGUAUCCAUAUAACGUAUGUCAAAAUUGUAUCAUUGUAGAUGCAACACAUGACACCUGAUGCCCCUUGACAUAAUGUUAAGAUGAAUUGAAAUAAUAAUAUUUUUUUGUACCAUGUGUUUAUGCAACAUAAGUUAAAAUUAUCAUUCCAGAUGAAAUAUAAAAUCUGAAUUUAUGUAUAUGGUUGUUUCUCAUAUUUUUCUUUUUUCCACUUUCAAUUCCUUACCGUCACUAUACAUCUAGAAGUUAGAACAACACCAAAAUAAUCGCUUCAGUCAAAAAUUGAAACUAACACAGAUCAAAAUUUUAAACUGUGAAACAUUGGAAAAAAGUAGGAGAAUGCUACCAUGUUGGUAAAGAUCUUCGAAGUUGUUGGUUUUGAAUUCAAAACCUGCCUUGCACUGGAACUGAGCCUGGUUUCCAGAUGUAUGUGUGCAUAUAUACAACUAUGAGUCACUCCAUAAAUUGUGAAACAUUCACUAAUAUUCUUUGAAUUAAAGUUAUGCCGUUUCUAUAUUGCAAAUCUGCCAGGUCUGAUAUGGGUGUUUCCUGAAAAAUAUGUUAGGUUUUCUCUGUACAAUCAUCAGGAUCUGUAUGUUAAUGUCUCAAAGAACAAUUAGGUUGUAUACUCAUCUGGAUCUGUAUGUUAAUGUCUCAAAGAACAAGUAGGUUGUAUACUCAUCAGGAUCUUUCAUACUUGAAUAAUAAUAUAUACAUUGUGUUGGAAUAUUUUUUCAAGACAUUUUACAAUAAAGAACCCAAAAUCUUAGAGUUUUGGGGUCAGGGAGGGUGAAUUUUUUGUAUACCUUUUAGAUUGUUUUCUAGUAACAUAGAUCGGGUUGGGAUUAAGUUUGAACACAUUACAAUAAAGAGCCUUGGAGUUCAUUGGGGUCAGGUAGGGUGGAUUCUUUGAACACCCAUAUAUUGAGUCAUGAUCUACUUAUAUAGUAGUCAAGAAAUGGAUGGAAUUCUAACUUGCACACAUUUAGAGAGUGACUGUUAGAGAACAAGCAAAAAGGCCAGUCCGGUGCACGAAGCUCCCGCCAUGCGAGGUCCCGAGGAAGAUCCAUUUUACGCAACCUUAUCCUGUUUUUUGCAAGAGGUUGUUUCCAGUAUUCGAACCCAUGACCUUUUGGUCAUGAAGGAACAACUUUACCAUUGCGCUAAGGCUCCCCUUCCGUUAGAGAACAAGCAUAACAAAUUAAAAUGAAACCCCAAUAAGACAUUUAGCUACAUUGAAUUUUGAUGUCUGUGCUGGCUAAAUGAAUUAGGUUAAUUCUUGCACCUUUAGGAAAGAAAAUAUAAUGUUGUUGAUCAAGGGCUGUGAACUGUACAAAAGAGAAGAAAGAAACACAAAACAUGUGCUAGUUUGGUAAGAAGUGCCCAAUGUCUACUUUCAUGAUUAUGUUGGUGUAUUCAUCCAUGAUUCAUCAACCACAUUCUAUCACAACACUAAUUAGGCCCAGGCUUAUCAGUCCAUUCUUUCAUCAACUCAAAGGAUUUCGUUCGCCUUGAAAAACCUUCACCACUGUUUGACAUAUGAACUCUUUUACAUCACUUGGCUCUGGUUGCACUCAAAUCAGACCAAACACAGAAGGCUAUAAAAGGUAAGGGUGUGUUUUUGCAUUCAAACUCAAUCUUGUAGGCUCUAUUCCGCAGCUAUCUAUAACAUAGGAGGAGCCAACUAGAGGCACCCCUCCUCGUUUAAUCUUCCAUGCAGGAGGUUGCCACAGACACUGAAUGAUUUGGAGCAACAUGGAUGAUUUUCAUGGAUGCAAAGCUCGAUCGGGGUAGAUUAGUUUUCUGCAGAUCUGAUUAGUUGAAAAAUCUGUUUGCUAGCAGAAAACCGAGCUCAUUCUAGAGUUCAUAAUACAUGCUGAUUCCUAAAUGGAGCAGGACCCAAAAGUAAUUCAGCAUGCAUUGGCUGCGUGCAUGCUGAAGAUGGUGUUGUAUCAGUCUAUGAUUUAGUGACUACAUUUCCAGAGAAGCAAACUUUGCAAAUAAAUUUGAAGCAACUACUGCAAAAGUCGACAUGUUUUGAACUCGGGCAAGAAAGCAUUUAUAAGAGAGACAAGAAAAUUGAAGAACACAAGCAGACUUCUGUAACUGUAAUACAAGGAAAACAUGGUUUGGAUUGAAGCUAGAGAAGACCUAAAGGGGAGCUGGCAGAAGAGACAAAAUUUUAGCUGAGAUACUAUUUUGUAAUCGGCCGUUCCAAAAUGCAGGAUUCAUUUGAAGUAAAUAAAGCAUAGACAUGAGUUACUAGAAAGACUCAAGACAUCUAUUUAUCUUCAUCACUCAGACAAUUAAGGUCUGCUUACUCGGACUGUCGGACAGAAGAUACAAUAAUGGAUCUCCACAUGCAAUUUUGUGAGCCUUUCACUUCUCCAUCAUAUUUUCCAUCCAAAUGGAUCUUAAGUAGCAAUUAAUUUAGCAGGAAGGCUGCCUAGUUGCUUAAUAUUCUCCAGACCUUCCAAGAAAUGUGCUGGCAAAUGACCCUCUUCGGCGCAUCAGAUCCCCCAGAAAGCUGGCACGUAUCAUGGCAAGCAAAAAUUCCUCCAUUGACUCAAGAUUAUUCCUCACUUUUUGUCUCUGUUCCAUGCCCGAAAAGCUUUAUGAACACACUCAACUAGGAGGAAUAGUUCUUUGCAGUUUAAUUUCUGAUCAUUUUAAUUGGUUUUUGUUUGAUGAUAAGUAUGGAGGAAGAGCUCUUGCCUUGCAGGUGUUUAGGGUAAAGCCAUUUACUUUCUAUUAAUUUAAAAACCAGAAGUUCAAUCGUUUAAAUGCGUACAUUAAAUGUGAAAAUAUGUUCAUGGCGCUUAAUUUCUCUAUGCGGACAAGUUUUAUA